AUUGAACGCUGGCGGCAGGCCUAACACAUGCAAGUCGAGCGGAUGAAGGGAGCUUGCUCCUGGAUUCAGCGGCGGACGGGUGAGUAAUGCCUAGGAAUCUGCCUGGUCGUGGGGGAUAACGUCCGGAAACGGGCGCUAAUACCGCAUCCGUCCUGAGGGCGAAAGUGGGGGAUCUUCGGACCUCACGCCAUCAGAUGAGCCUAGGUCUGAUUAGCUAGUUUGUGGGGUAACGGCCUACCGAGGCGACGAUCCGUAACUGGUCCGAGAGGAUGAUCAGUCACACUGGAUCAGAGACAGGGCCCCGACUCUGACGGUGGGCCGCGGUGGGGACUCUUGCACGAGGGGCGAAUGCCUGAUCUAGCACUGCCGCGUGUGUGCAGAAGGUCUUCUGACUGUAGAGCACUUAAAGUUUGGAGGAAGUGCAGUACGUUAAUACCUGGCUGUUUUGACGUUACCAACAGAAUAAGCACCGGCUAACUUCGUG
rnacentral:rRNA from 1 species